UGUGUGUGUGUGUGUGUGUGUGUGUGUGUGUGUGUGUGUGUGUGUGUGUGUGUGUGUGUGUGUGUGCGUGCGUGCGUGCGUGUGUGUCUUGCUGUGCCAAGGACAGUGGCAGUUCUUAAAUCCUUAAAACUUUGUUGCACAGUACACAUGUGUGUAACACUGUAAACACACACACACACACACACACACACACACACACACACACACACACUAAUGCAUACAUCGCAGUGAAAAUAGGCCAAGCAAGUUGUGUGCUUUGGAAACGAAAGUAGGCCACUUGGAAUAGCCUGUGUAUGUGCAUGCCUGUGUAUGAGUGAUGAAUCAGCUCCAUGUUAUGCAAUGCUGAACCACCCUUGGGCCUCGUUACCAUGUCUCGCGCCCUUAUGCUGCAGAAGGAAACCAACCAGUAUGUGUGUGUGUGUGUAUGUGUGUGUGUGUGUGUGUACUUGUUGUUCCUGCAACAUGGGGGCCACAAACCAUGUUUUUGCUAUUAAGGUGAGGUCAUGUUGACGACAUGGGGACGUUUGAAGGCUUUUUUGAGGGUAAGGAUGUAAUUUUAGUGCUGAGGUUAGAAUUGAGAAUUGAGGUUUGAUUAAAGCAAAGGUUUAGACAUCUGCCUUUAUUUCUAAUGGUUAGGGUUUGGGUAAGGGGCUAGGGAAGGCAUUAUGUCAAUGGUAUGUCUCCACGAGGAUGUAAAAAUGCACUUGUGUGUGUGUGUGUGUGUGUGUGUGUGUGUGUGUGUGUGUGUGUGUGUGUGUGUGUGUGUGUGUGUGUGUGUGUGUGUGUGUGUGUGUGUGUGUAUUUCAACUGAAUCGUCACUUAUUUUCCAACUAUUGCCACUGUAAUAACAGGGUCAACACAGGAUGCCUGCUAUCUCAGUCUGAUUUGGUCCAAAUAAAAUUAUGAUUUUUGAAAAUCUGCCUGCACUGUAGUACUUUUCCAUGUAACAGAUAUCAGAAGGGCAGUUAGUCAUAACGCCACUCCUAAGUGUUACGUGAAUGUUUUCAUAUUCACUGCCUUUUAUUUACGCUGCUGUACUUUUGGCAAAGCUUUUCAGUCAACGUUUUCAGUUUCCUUCUAAAGAGGAGCUUUUUCGUGCGCGCUGAUGUUAAUCUGCUGAUUCAGUGGAGACACCGUUUCCCACAGAGCUGAGUGCUCUGACUCAGGUGCAUGAAACGGACUCCCGUUCGUUAAGCUUGUGAAGCGGCGUGCUAAUUUCACCGACAUCAGAGGAGCCCUAACGGCCGUGGAGCACAUCAGCUCCCAGGCACAUUACACCGGUCCCAUAAACAUUUUUUUAGCAGAACAUCACAGGAGAUCAAUACAGUUAAUUAAACACAGUGAGGAGGUGGCUUUAAAGGGAACUUCACAGCGAGGCAAUAAGGUUUUACACACGGUGUCUAAUAAAACACUGCAUUAUUAAUAAGUCAUUUGUUGAUGGGAGGCGUUUUGCUGCUUUAUUCGUGUGUUGUCUAGCGUUUGGCUCAUUUUCUACACAAGUCAUCGUGUUUAUAACCAGUCUAGUCAACGCCCACCUAGAUAACAUGUAUGUGCCUGCACCCACAGCUACACGCUGGCCAGCGCUGCACCCAGCAGUGCACGAAGCAACACAUCAUCCAUUAGCAUGGAUGGAAUCAGAAUCCAUUGUUUAUAGCACCAGAAUAGUAAAUAUUAAUAGAAGAUCAUCAUGCAAUGUGCUGGAAAAGCCUCAUAUGAGUUCAGUUACUGAUAUGAGUCACUCAUCACGCUUUUGAUAUGGGCUGGUGGCUCAGUGAAAUAUCUUCAUAAUAUCGCAAGGCCCGUUUUUUGAAAACACGUCAGAGCUGUGGUGAUCGAGGCAACCUGCAGGUCUCCGUGGCCGCUCCUAAGUGGAUUAACCCGUUUAGAUUAGUCUCAGCCAUUCGUCCCAUCUGUCUGCGGCCACGCCACACGCCUGUUACGGCGCAGCCACCGCAGAAAAGCGCAACAAAAGAGGAAUCAGACGAGUGAUUACGUGAAAAAAAAACUCUUCGUCCGCUGACCCACUGACACACAUGCACCACGCGCCACCGGUGCUCGCGCGUCACGUGUGCCGGUACGUAACGCGGACACGCUCGCGCGCGGCGACCUCGUCCGCACAUACGCACGCAUGGUCUAAUCUACGAUUAGUCGUUGGAUAAUAUUCUGGGAUGGAACAGCGUUGUGCACAGCGCUGACACGGCGAGGUGCAGUUUGUGACGUGUGACUUCAGAUGCAGCAAUUAAGAAGUUUUUAAAGAAGCCCGACGCCCUCGGUUCCAUUAGGUCUCGUGGAGCUGCGCCCACAAGGGAUGUGGCCAGAAGGGUGCCGGGAACCAAAAUGCUCUGCGGAUGCCACCAUCGCCACAAUCAGAAGGUGGUAACUACCAGAUGUAGAACAUUGUGCAGCCCUUGGUGGAACUUUGGUGGGUCAUCUUGGGGUAUUAUUCAGCUUGGGGUUAUUAUUUAGCUUUUUCAUUAUACUCAUUGCCUGUGAAGGGAGACUUAGGAACAUCAGCAGAGGAGCAUCGUGAAACCAAACCACCAGUGAGGAAAAGGGAAGUGCUCUGCCCACGACAUUUCCAUUGCUGACGCUCUCCACGCUGACCCGGAUGAUGCACAGAUCCGCCAUCUGUUUGUUGUAGACGGGCAGCACGGCCUGAGGAGAGCAGCUGGAAGACGACCCGUCGGGGCUCAGCGCCAGCGAGGAGGGGCUGAGGUCUGGAUGAGAGGAGCUGCAGGAGGAGCUGGAGAGACUGGGAGAGGAGGUGGCGGCGCUGGAGGAGCCGUCCUCGGCUACGUUGUGAAGUGAGCCCGAGAGAGACUGCAGGCAAGAGAGGGAGAAAACAGAGUGAUUUGCAUACCUGCUGACCAGCGCCCAGGUCUUCUUGAGGCGAUACACAGCGUUGGACUGAAGGGCUGAAAGGACGGCCCUCAGAGAAGAGAAGUUCUUCAGCUGCCUGCACUCCUGCAGAGGCGCACGCACACAC